UACGGGGGGAGCAAGCGUUGUUCGGAUUUACUGGGCGUAAAGGGCGCGUAGGCGGCCUCCGCAAGUCAGUUGUGAAAUCUCCGAGCUUAACUCGGAAAGGUCAACUGAUACUGCGGGGCUAGAGUGCGGAAGGGGCAACUGGAAUUCUUGGUGUAGCGGUGAAAUGCGUAGAGAUGGGGGAGAACACUUGUGGCGAAGGCGGCCAGCUGGACCAGUUCUGACGCUGAGGCGCGAAAGCGUGGGGAGCAAACAGG
rnacentral:rRNA from 1 species